UACUUCUCGUGGUUCAUGCCCAGCACAAACAUGGGGGCAUCGGCAGAAGGUGCAGAGAUGAUGACACUCUUGGCACCACCCUUCAAGUGAGCCCCAGCCUUCUCCAUGGUAGUGAAGACCCCAGUGGACUCCACCACAUACUCAGCACCAGCAUCACCCCACUUGAUGUUGGCAGGAUCUCGUCUCAGGGAUGUGGCUGGCACAGCACAGAAGUUACGGCUAUCUGUCGAACAGGCAGGAGCAGAGAGCUGUCUAUCAUUCUUUUAACCGAUCUUAUUUCCUUUAGCUGAUCUUAUUUCAUAAAGAAGAAUUCAGAAUUCAGAAGGUAGUCUCUUCUCUUUAACUCUUCAUUUGCAGAGUAAUGAGUUGGUAUAACAGUUACUGGGUGGCAAAUAAGUUUCUAAACAUAUUUGUUAUCACUUUUCUUGUUUGAGCAUUACUAUGGAAGUAUGGAUUUUUAUAUAUUCAAUGUGUAUCAGUCAAUCACAGUAAUAUAAAAAUUGUCCUGAAGUAAGUGAAAGCCUUUUAAAACUGGCUCUUGUUUCCUUUUGAAACAUCCCAUUAAUCACUUAAAGCUCCUUUCCUUGCUUUGUAUUAUAGAAUAAUAUAUUUGUAGACAAUUUUUAUAUUACUGUUUAGAAACUUAUUUGCCACCCGAGCUGACUCAUUUGAAAAGACCCUGAUGCUGGGAAAGAUUGAAGGCAGGAGGAGAAGGGGACGACAGAGGAUGAGAUAGUUGGAUGGCAUCACCAACUCGAUGGACAUGGGUUUGGGUGGACUCCGGAAGUUGGUGAUGGACAGGGAGGCCUGGUGUGCUGCAGUUCAUGGGAUCACAGAGUCAGACAUGACUGAGUGACUGAACUGAAUUGAAGAUGUGUUAAUCUUUUUUAUUCCUUGCCCCAGACAUGGAAGCAGCCAUUCCUCCAGAUAUUUGGUAGCUUUUAGUAAAGACUGAUUUUAGGGACCAUAAUGUGGGUCCUAGGGGUCAUAAUGACUACUGAGAUGAUUGAUGUUGCUCCUAGGUCCUUUCAGUGCAUAGACUUAGGAUAUAAAGAUACACUCACACAUAUACACACACCUCACUCACACUAUUUCCAAUUAAAAUUUAGCUGUGAUUUUU
rnacentral:lncRNA from 1 species